GGGCAGAGGGUCAAGCUGGGGUGGGAGAAGGGAGAAAUCUUUGUUUCGGGUUUCAACUACGUUCGGGAAAAGGGAAGGCAAAAUGAUGAAUGGAAGGCGUGAGUGCUGGAAAGGAAAAUGUGAAUGAGUCUCCUUAGUUCCCUCCAGCAUGGAGCCACCCGGUUACUAAUUUCCAAGCUCUGCGGGAAACUGGACAUUACUUUAAUUCACAUAUUGCCAUUCUCACUGCCAGAUGUCACAAAUACGACUCACAGAUCGGCUGGAGGGGUAGUUGUCUUCCACUUUUUGCUUGGAAAGCCCCCGCCCCAGAAAUGGCUGAAAGGGUAGAAGCAUAGUCUGGGCAUUGUGACGCUGGCAGGCCUCGUAUGUCAGGUCUUUUAGGAACCCUGUGUCAUUUACAGACUUACUGGCCACUUGUGUGUUAGACUUACCCAUGGUCGUGUCCCAAAGCCAUCAACCUUUAAGAAACAAGAACAAAACUUGCCAAUGAAACCCUGCCUAGGUCUCACCCUUAUUUCUCUUCAUGCCUCACACUGCUUCGCCUGGGGCAUUCAUACAUCAAUCCAGUAUUUACUGAGCACUUUACUGUGAGUCAGGCAUGGUUUCAGAUGUUCAGUGUAUAGUGAUGAACACAACAAGUUUCCUGAAUGGGUCAAGCCAGGUCCAGUCUGGCCAGCGGAGUGCAGCCCCAGGGAAUCUGAGACAUAAACAUCAGGAGGUUGGGCUAAGUCUGUGAUUCUCAAAAAGUGGUCUUCAGACUGGCUGCAUCAUCUGGUAGCUCAAGGGAGGUGUGAAUUCUUAGGCCCCACCCUGAAUGGAAUGAAUCGAAAACUGGGGGUGCGACCCUGCAAUCUGUGCCUCCUGCAGCCUUCACCUUUAACGGAGUGAAAAGAUAACAGCAACCUGGGGGAAAGUAUUUGCAACAUAUAUAACUGGCGUAUGAAGAAUAUGAAUGUAUGAAGCAUUCCAAUAAUCAAGAAGAAAGAAACAUCCAAUGGACAAAUGGACAAAGACAUAAACAGGCAUAGGCAUGUACAGGGUAAAAAAGGGCUAAGGGACAAGUGAAAGAUCGCUCAAACUGUGCCUUGCAAAAUGAAAAUAAAAUCC